rnacentral:rRNA from 1 species
AAAUUGAAGAGUUUGAUCAUGGCUCAGAUUGAACGCUGGCGGCAGGCCUAACACAUGCAAGUCGAACGGUAACAGGAAGCAGCUUGCUGCUUCGCUGACGAGUGGCGGACGGGUGAGUAAUGUCUGGGAAGCUGCCUGAUGGAGGGGGAUAACUACUGGAAACGGUGGCUAAUACCGCAUAACGUCGCAAGACCAAAGAGGGGGACCUUCGGGCCUCUUGCCAUCAGAUGUGCCCAGAUGGGAUUAGCUAGUUGGUGAGGUAACGGCUCACCAAGGCGACGAUCCCUAGCUGGUCUGAGAGGAUGACCAGCCACACUGGAACUGAGACACGGUCCAGACUCCUACGGGAGGCAGCAGUGGGGAAUAUUGCACAAUGGGCGCAAGCCUGAUGCAGCCAUGCCGCGUGUAUGAAGAAGGCCUUAGGGUUGUAAAGUACUUUCAGCGGGGAGGAAGGUGUUGUGGUUAAUAACCGCAGCAAUUGACGUUACCCGCAGAAGAAGCACCGGCUAACUCCGUGCCAGCAGCCGCGGUAAUACGGAGGGUGCAAGCGUUAAUCGGAAUUACUGGGCGUAAAGCGCACGCAGGCGGUCUGUCAAGUCGGAUG